rnacentral:rRNA from 1 species
AUUGACCUCGGAUCAGGUAGGGAUACCCGCUGAACUUAAGCAUAUCAAUAAGCGGAGGAAAAGAAACCAACAGGGAUUGCCUCAGUAACGGCGAGUGAAGCGGCAACAGCUCAAAUUUGAAAUCUGGCCCCGUCGGGGUCCGAGUUGUAAUUUGUAGAGAGUGUUUCGGGUGAGACCACGGUCUAAGUCUAUUGGAACAUGGCGUCAUAGAGGGUGAGAAUCCCGUAUGUGACCGUGGCUCGAACCCAUGUGAAGCCUCUUCGACGAGUCGAGUUGUUUGGGAAUGCAGCUCAAAAUGGGUGGUAAAUUUCAUCUAAAGCUAAAUACUGGCUGGAGACCGAUAGCGCACAAGUAGAGUGAUCGAAAGAUGAAAAGCACUUUGGAAAGAGAGUCAAAAAGUACGUGAAAUUGUUGAAAGGGAAGCGCUUGCAACCAGACCUGUCCGUAGGUGAUCAGCCGCUGUUCUCAGUGGUGCACUCGCUCUGCGAUCAGGCCAGCAUCGGUUCCGGCGGUCGGAUAAAGGCCUUGGGAAUGUAGCUCCCUUCGGGGAGUCUUAUAGCCCUCGGUGCAAUGCGGCCAGCCGGGACCGAGGACCGCGCUUCGGCUAGGAUGCUGGCGUAAUGGUUGUAAGCGACCCGUCUUGAAACACGGACCAAGGAGUCUAACAUCUAUGCGAGUGUUUGGGUGUUAAACCCAUGCGCGGAAUGAAAGUGAACGGAGGUGAGAACCCUUUAGGGCGCAUCAUCGACCGAUCCAGAUGUCUUCGGAUGGAUUUGAGUAUGAGCAUAGCUGUUGGGACCCGAAAGAUGGUGAACUAUGCCUGAAUAGGGUGAAGCCAGAGGAAACUCUGGUGGAGGCUCGCAGCGGUUCUGACGUGCAAAUCGAUCGUCAAAUUUGGGUAUAGG